CCAAUAGCGUAUAUUAAAGUUGUUGCAGUUAAAAAGCCCGUAGUUGAAUUUCGGGAUUUAUCCGUUGGUCGGGCUUUUGGGUCUGUACUGGCGUGAUGGAUUUCUACCUUCUGAAUAACCGGCAUGUCAUUAAUUUGGUGCGCCGGGGAAGCAGGACUGUUACCUUGAAAAAAUUAGAGUGCUUAAAGCAGGCUAUUGCCUGAAUACAUUAGCAUGGAAUAAUGAAAUAGGACGGCAUGGUUCUAUUUUGUUGGUUUCUAGGAUCACCGUAAUGAUUAAUAGGGAUAGUUGGGGGCAUUAGUAUUCAAUUGUCAGAGGUGAAAUUCUUGGAUUUAUUGAAGACUAACUUCUGCGAAAGCAUUUGCCAAGGAUGUUUUCAUUAAUCAAGAACGAAAGUUAGGGGAUCGAAGACGAUCAGAUACCGUCGUAGUCUUAACCAUAAACUAUGCCGACUAGGGAUCGGACGAUGUUAAUUUUUUAAUGACUCGUUCGGCGCCUUACG
rnacentral:rRNA from 1 species